rnacentral:rRNA from 1 species
UACAGAGGGGGCAAGCGUUGUUCGGAAUUACUGGGCGUAAAGGGCGCGUAGGCGGCCUGUUAAGUCGAACGUGAAAUCCCCGGGCUCAACCCGGGAACUGCGUCCGAAACUGGCAGGCUCGAAUUCGGGAGAGGGAUGCGGAAUUCCAGAUGUAGCGGUGAAAUGCGUAGAUAUCUGGAGGAACAUCGGUGGCGAAGGCGGCAUCCUGGACCGAUAUUGACGCUGAGGCGCGAAAGCCAGGGGAGCAAACGGG